rnacentral:lncRNA from 1 species
CGGCCGCGGGCACCGGGAGAGCAGCGCGCCGCGGCCCCUCGCCUCCCUCAGAGCGCUCCGCACCGCCGUCCCCACCGACCUUCAACGGGGCCGGGGCCAGGCUCCGACCGCCAGCAGUCGGGUGAGGGGCCGCGGCGGGCGAACGGCGGACGAAGAGGAGGCCGCUUCCUUCCUGGCCCCUGGGCAAGAGGGACGGAGGGAGGGGUCGUGGGUGUCGGGAGCCGGGGGAGCCAGAGGGGACAGUAAGGGGGUUACCUCUCGCCCGGCUCGGCCUCUUCCCCCGCCUGUCGAACGGAGGAGCUCGUUGUCCAGCUGCAAGAAGACGGCCCGACCCGGGUCAGCACCAUCCCGCCCCGGGCCCCCUCACAUCGCCAUCACAGCAACCGCAAACACCGCAACCGCGGAGCCGGUUCGUCACCGCGGCUCGGCUACUGGCCCAGCGCGGCCAGCGAGCAUGCGCAGUCGCCCCAGUCCCGAGGGAGCCCGGGCCAGCCGGCUAUACCUGCGAUCAACAGCUCCUCCGUGCAGUCCCGGGUAGAGAGCCCGGUCCCUGCGCUAGUCGAUUUGUGCAGUAGGAAAGGAGGCUGCAGGGGAUCUGCGCCGGGGCAGGACAGAUGCCUUUCGGGACCCAGUGUUUGCAUCUUGGGAGAUGUGGGUGCUGAUCUGGUUGUUUCUUGGUUUAUGACGCCAAAAAGGGCGGGAGGGGGCUGAUGAAGUGAAGCCUUUCGCUAAUACAUUCCGUUAACAGA